UUGUAAUGAAUGGAGGGCGGCGGCGACUGCAGCAGCUGGCUUAGCUGCGUGGGUUGUACCCUCCUCCCAGCCUGCGAGAGGAGGGUCACCUAAGAACACAGCUGGUUUCUGGAGUAUUCUUCUCCAUGUCCAGGAUUUCCUCUGUGCUUCCAGAGAAAGGGAGAUGCCUGCCUCUGGGACAGCAUACAGAACAGGUUCAGGAAGAGACAGCCCAGGGACCCUUUUCUUCUAUUUUGAGGAACCUACUGGAGAAUGUAGCCCAAGGAAUUUAGGAAAAUGAUUGGAUGCCAAGGGACUGACCUCGAGAGUCAGGU